rnacentral:rRNA from 1 species
AUUGAACGCUGGCGGCAGGCCUAACACAUGCAAGUCGAACGGUAGCACAGAGGGCUUGCUCUUGGGUGACGAGUGGCGGACGGGUGAGUAAUGUCUGGGAAACUGCCUGAUGGAGGGGGAUAACUACUGGAAACGGUAGCUAAUACCGCAUAACGUCGCAAGACCAAAGAGGGGGACCUUCGGGCCUCUUGCCAUCGGAUGUGCCCAGAUGGGAUUAGCUAGUAGGUGGGGUAAUGGCUCACCUAGGCGACGGUCCCUAGCUGGUCUGAGAGGAUGACCAGCCACACUGGAACUGAGACACGGUCCAGACUCCUACGGGAGGCAGCAGUGGGGAAUAUUGCACAAUGGGCGCAAGCCUGGUGCAGCCAUGCCGCGUGUAUGAAGAAGGCCUUCGGGUUGUAAAGUACUUUCAGCGGGGAGGAAGGGGUUGAGUUUAAUACGCUCAAUCAUUGACGUUACCCGCAGAAGAAGCACCGGCUAACUCCGUGCCAGCCGCCGCCGUAACAC